UACGAGGACCCCGAGCGUUAUCCGGAAUUACUGGGCGUAAAACGUGAGCAUCCGGUUGUGCUAGUCUUAUGUUAAAUCUCAUUGCUCAACGAUGAGACUGCGUGAGAAACGGCACGACUAGAGUGGGUAAGAGGCAAGCGGAACGUGCGGUGUAGGGGUGAAAUCCAUCGAUAUUGCACGGAACACCAAAAGCGAAAGCAGCUUGCUAGUGCUCUACUGACGGUCAAUCACUAAAGCGUGGGGAUCAAAAAGG
rnacentral:rRNA from 1 species